UAGGCGGCUGAUUAAGUCGGAUGUGAAAUCCCUGAGCUUAACUUAGGAAUUGCAUUCGAUACUGGUCAGCUAGAGUAUGGGAGAGGAUGGUAGAAUUCCAGGUGUAGCGGUGAAAUGCGUAGAGAUCUGGAGGAAUACCGAUGGCGAAGGCAGCCAUCUGGCCUAAUACUGACGCUGAGGUACGAAAGCAUGGGGAGCAAACAGGAUUAGAUACCCUGGUAGUCCAUGCCGUAAACGAUGUCUACUAGCCGUUGGGGCCUUUGAGGCUUUAGUGGCGCAGCUAACGCGAUAAGUAGACCGCCUGGGGAGUACGGUCGCAAGACUAAAACUCAAAUGAAUUGACGGGGGCCCCGCACAAGCGGUGGAGCAUGUGGUUUAAUUCGAUGCAACGCGAAGAACCUUACCUGGCCUUGACAUACUAGAAGCUUUCCAGAGAUGGAUUGGUGCCUUCGGGAAUCUAGAUACAGGUGCUGCAUGGCUGUCGUCAGCUCGUGUCGUGAGAUGUUGGGUUAAGUCCCGCAACGAGCGCAACCCUUUUCCUUACUUGCCAGCAUUUCGGAUGGGAACUUUAAGGAUACUGCCAGUGACAAACUGGAGGAAGGCGGGGACGACGUCAAGUCAUCAUGGCCCUUACGGCCAGGGCUACACACGUGCUACAAUGGUCGGUACAAAGGGUUGCUACCUAGCGAUAGGAUGCUAAUCUCAAAAAGCCGAUCGUAGUCCGGAUUGGAGUCUGCAACUCGACUCCAUGAAGUCGGAAUCGCUAGU
rnacentral:rRNA from 1 species